rnacentral:lncRNA from 1 species
GGAUUCAAAAAGAUGCUCGGAAUUAAUAGAAUAUUCUGUAAAGAAAGGCAUUCGAAUUUAUUUAAGCACAAUAAUCAAAAAACUAAGAACCCUAAGCAAGAAAAUUGCAUAAAACAGUGAGGCUCAGAACCCUAGAAGAGAUUUAAGACAUGGAACUCAGAAAAAAAAGGUUUCAAGCACAUAGCAUGUGAGUAAUCACGUAAUACCCAAAAGAAACAGAAGCAUGAUGAUUAAAAAGGAUCACAAACCCUAGCAAAGAUAAAAUUAAAGCAUGGACCCAGGUUAACAAGGAAACAAAACAAACAAGUAAAACACAUAAACACAAACGAACAUAUAGGAUUCAGAAAGAGCAGAAGAAACAAUUUUGAAGAAGGGGGUUAGAAACCCUAACUUGAAAGAGUGGUAACCAUCUGAAGUUUGAAAUAGCCAGAAACACUAAGUAAAAAUAGAGUUAGAAAACAAAAUCAAAUAGAGAGUUGUUUUAAAAGAAUAGAGAUUAAAGAGGUUUGAGUAAAAAUUAGGGUUUGCACACAAAUUAGGAAAAUGAAGAACCUGGCCGUGAAACUCAUAUAUGAUGCCAUAGAAGGAAUCAUCGGACAAAAACAACCAAAGAAAAGCCGGCAACAGACCCAAGUGAAGCUUCAGUGACCGUCUUUCAUGGCGGAUGACUUUGUCUCCGAGCAUCAGAGGUGAGCAACGAUGAUGAGGGUUCCAUGGCGACAAAAGAUCGAGAGAAGUGAGGGAGGGGUAUGGUCGGAGAGGCGAUGAGUUUCAUCAGAGAAGAAGGAGAGAACCAGAAGGUUCUAGAGAGCAAAAAUUCAGAGAGAGAGAGAC